AGCUUUGCUCAGUGGCAACAUCAUAGCCAGUGAGGUUUAUCUGAGGUGCAAUUAUUGCUAAUUGAAAACUUUCCCAAUACCCUGCCAUGACGACUUGAAAUACAGUCAGCAUUGGCAAUUUUUGACAGUCUCUACGGAGA
ensembl:snRNA U4 U4 spliceosomal RNA